GGCCCCAUCGUCUAACGGUUAGGACAUCAGAUUCUCAAUCUGGCAAUCCGGGUUCGAUUCCCGGUGGGGUCACCA
rnacentral:tRNA from 1 species